rnacentral:rRNA from 1 species
CCUACGGGGUGCAGCAGUGGGGGAUAUUGCACAAUGGGGGAAACCCUGAUGCAGCGACGCCGCGUGGGUGAAGAAGUAUUUCGGUAUGUAAAGCCCUAUCAGCAGGGAAGAAAGAAGACGGUACCUGACUAAGAAGCCCCGGCUAACUACGUGCCAGCAGCCGCGGUAAUACGUAGGGGGCGAGCGUUAUCCGGAUUCACUGGGUGUAAAGGGAGCGUAGACGGCCGUGCAAGCCAGGAGUGAAAGCCCGGGGCGCAACCCCGGGACUGCUCUUGGAACUGUGCGGCUGGAGUGCGGGAGGGGCAGGCGGAAUUCCUGGUGUAGCGGUGAAAUGCGUAGAUAUCAGGAGGAACACCGGCGGCGAAGGCGGCCUGCUGGACCGCGACUGACGUUGAGGCUCGAAAGCGUGGGGAGCGAACAGGAUUAGAUACCCCUGUAGUC